rnacentral:rRNA from 1 species
CUCUAGAAAACUCUACUCCAACAGCUGUUAGCCUAAUACCAGAACAUUUCAAGAAAGAUUAAAAGAAAGAGAAGGAAUUCGGCAAACAUUAGCCCCGCCUGUUUACCAAAAACACCGCCUCUUGCUUAUAUAAGAGGUCCAGCCUGCCCAGUGACUUCUGUUCAACGGCCGCGGUAUCCUAACCGUGCAAAGGUAGCGUAAUCACUUGUCUUCUAAAUAAAGACUAGUAUGAAAGGCAUCACGAGGACUAAACUGUCUCCUCUCCCUAAUCAGUGAACCCAAUAACCCCGUGAAGAAGCGGGGGUAUUUAUAUAAGACGAGAAGACCCUAUGGAGCUUAAAACAUCAUAACACCUGCCACCCCACCUAUUAACCCCGGUUUUCAUCCCCGUGGCUCCCUGAUUAUAUGUUUUUGGUUGGGGCGACCGCGGAGAAAAAUCUAUCCUCCACAAUGAAGGGGACCUCCCUAAACAGUAAGCUACAACUUUAUGUAUCAGCAAACUGACAUCCAUUGACCCAAUAUAUUUGAUUAACGAACCAAGUUACCCUAGGGAUAACAGCGCAAUCCACUUUGAGAGCCCCUAUCGACAAGUGGGCUUACGACCUCGAUGUUGGAUCGGGGUAUCCUAGUGGUGCAGCCCUACAAAGGUCGUUUGUCACGAUAAA